UUCAGGCUACCAGCGCUGCACUUACUCCUCUCAUCUCUCUGAUCUUCCUCAAUCUUCCCUCAUGUCAUAACUUGGACACUUCUGAAGAGUGCUGGUCAGCAUUUUGUAGAAUGUUCCUCCGGUUGGGUUGCCUGUUGUUUUCUGCCUAAUAACUGGACUGAGGUUACAGAUAGGUGGGAAGAAUCUAGAAGACCACAGCAAACUACCCUUCUAGUCACAUCACAUCAGGAGCACACAGCAUUGGCCAAAUUUCCUCCCAGUAAUGUGAGGCCUCAUCUCCUGGCCCAGGUGCUUUCUGCCAGGUGUCACCACUGUUCAAAGCACUGUGCUUUAAAAAAUUCAACAUACCAAUGAAGGAAAAACUGCCAUAAAAUGAAGAUAUCAAAUCCACCUAUGAAUAGGCUGGAAGG